UACAAUGUUUUAACUCUUCGUCUUAUUUGAAUUUUUUUACGAUUAAUAUUUUUAUUGUUACUAGAUGGUAAAAUAUAAAUAUUACUUUAUGUGUGACUAAUUUUUUUAAUUUUUUAUUUAUUUUUUAAAUAAGACGAAUGUUCAAACGUUGGACACAGAAA
rnacentral:pre_miRNA from 1 species